rnacentral:misc_RNA from 1 species
GGAAGGAUCAUUAACACGUUAUCCAACGUAAACCAAGGUGAACCGUUUUCGCCCUCCCUUGACUUAGAAUAAGCGGGGUUUGCCUGAGGUGUUGAAAGGGACUGUCUCGACAGUCAGCCUCUACGAACUAUUUUUGUGUGACAGAAAUGUUGCAUGAUAACGCUGUAUCUUUUUGUCAAGAUUAUUCUCGCACAGAUCUCUCCUUUCAUUGAGGGCUGCUGCGGGUAACUUAUUAACUUAUUUCACCUUUUUUGCUAGUUGACUUUUAUAUGUUGUUCUUUGCGUUUAAUUACGUAAGGUUCACACGUUUAAUUAUUUGAACGUUAAAAUUACAACUCUUAGCAAUGGAUAUCUUGGUUCUCGCAACGAUGAAGAACGCAGCGAAAUGCGAUACGUAAUGCGAAUUGCAGAAUUCAGUGAAUCAUCAAAUCUUUGAACGCAAAUUGCGCUUCUGGGUAGCCCUAGGAGCACGCCUCUCUCAGUAUCGGUUCAACCCUCUCUCAGCAGCGUGUGUGUAGAAAUUCAUUUUUUUAUGCAUGCGUGUUGGCUGGAUAAUGAGAGUCUGUAUGCUUGCGUGCAGUCUCUUUAAGUACAUGGAGUGAACAUUUUAACUUUCGAUCAAUUUAGUAAAUGAAUAGAUUUAUUUCUGUUUGUUUAUUAAUAGUCAGUCUCCGGCUGUUUUAUUCGAAUAGUGACGUGAAUAUUGGCCCUUGUGGUCUUCUUUUUACGUGUGUCUAUAGAAUUCAACAUUAAAGCUUUAGAUUGGUGAACGUUUGAAUAGCAAAUGUGAACGUGAGAAAACCAUAUGAUGAGUCUUUGAUUAGACGAGUCUGAAUUUUGAUCUGAGAUGAAGCGAGACAACCCCUGAAUUUAAGCAUAUUAAUAAGGGGAGGAAAAGAAACUAACAAGGAUUCCCCCAGUAACGGCGAGUGAAGCGGGAAGAGCUCAAUUUGAAAAUCGAUUUCCUAAACGGGACAUCGAGUUGUAGCCUAGAGACGCACUAUCAGUUGAAACCUGGGUAUAAGUUCUUUGGAAUGAGGCGCUAGAAAGGGUGAGAGCCCCGUAUAUGGCCCAAAGCUUUCAACGUACGAUGUGUGUUCAUCGAGUCGAGUUGUUUGGGAUUGCAGCUCUAAAUGGGUGGUAAGUUUCAUCUAAAGCUAAAUAUAGGCGAGAGACCGAUAGCGAACAAGUACCGUGAGGGAAAGAUGAAAAGAACUUUGAAAAGAGAGUUAAAAGUACUUGAAAUUGCUAAGAGGGAAGCGCUAAAAACUAGUGAUACGCUGGGUCAAUCGUUUUCAGCCCCACUAGCUUGCGUACGUAAUGGGCAACCUUGCGUGCGUAAUCGAAAGGGUGGUUGUGAGUUUAUGAUUCAGUGUCAGUCAAGAUCAAUUCGAAUUGUGGGAGAAGGUAGCGAGAAAGGUAGGUGUUUUGCACUGUUAUAUUCUUGUUACUCUACCUCGGCUUGGAUUGAGGAAGUAAUGGUGCGCCGCUUGCGGCUUGGUCCUGCGUUUCUGUUUACCUAUUUGCUCUGAUAGCAAUGCUAUCUCUGUGGAAAAAGUGAAUACUGAGCGUAGUGAUUCUAUGUACCAUCACGAUCUUGUACGAAAUAGUUUUUAUCGACCCGUCUUGAAACACGGACCAAGGAGUCUAACAUCUAUGCAAGUAUUUUGGUGCAAAACCAUGAUGCGUAAUGAAAGUAAAGGCAGCUUCGGCUGCUGAGGUAGGAAUCCUUUACCGGAGGCACUAUCGACCGAUCAUCAUUUAUGAAAGAUUUGAGUAAGAGCAUAUCUGUUGGGACCCGAAAGAUGGUGAUCUAUGCCUGAACAGGGUGAAGCCAGGGGAAACUCUGGUGGAGGCUCGUAGCGAUACUGACGUGCAAAUCGUUCGUCUGAUUUGGGUAUAGGGGCGAAAGACUAAUCGAACCAUCUAGUAGCUGGUUCCCUC